CGGGGCUCAGCAGGCGCGUAAACUAUACAACACUGGCAAGGCCGAUAAGGGACACCUGGAGAACCAGGUUACAUAUCUGGGGCUCGUGAAGCGUAAAUAGCCAAGUAUAUGCAAGGGUCGGGCAUAGACCGCAGCCGGCCGUCGCGGUAACUCUGAUGGCUUGAGUUGUAACCGUUAUUAUUCGUUAUAAAGGAUCGGUAUCCGGCCAGGUAAGUUUCUCGGGAAAUGUGGCAGAUUAAUCAUCAGGUUUUCCCGAGAUCCAUCGAGGCUCGAGGCCGUGAGAGGCAUGAGGUAUUUCAGGGGUAGUGGUGAAAUCUCGUAAUCCAGCAAGGACCACCAGUGGAGAAGGGGUGUCCCCAGAACGGACCCGACGGCAAGGGAAGAAAUCCAGGGCCAUGAGACCGGAUGAGAUACCCGGGUAGUCCUACCCGUAAACGAUACUCGCUAGGUGUCGCCCCCGGUGCGACCGUGGUCGGUGCCGUAGGGAAGCCAUGAAGCUAACCACCUGCGAAGCACGGCCGCAAGGAUGAAACAUAAA
rnacentral:rRNA from 1 species